UACGUAGGGGGCGAGCGUUGUUCGGAUUUACUGGGCGUAAAGGGCGCGCAGGCGGCUUUGUUUGUCAGGCGUGAAAGCCCCGGGCUUAACCUGGGAAUUGCGCUUGAGACGGCGGAGCUUGAGAUCGGGAGAGGAGAGUGGAAUUCCCAGUGUAGAGGUGAAAUUCGUAGAUAUUGGGAAGAACACCGGUGGCGAAGGCGGCUCUCAGGACCUAUACUGACGCUGAGGCGCGAAAGCGUGGGGAGCAAACAGG
rnacentral:rRNA from 1 species